rnacentral:rRNA from 1 species
UACAGAGGUCUCAAGCGUUGUUCGGAUUCAUUGGGCGUAAAGGGUGCGUAGGCGGCGCGGUAAGUCGGGUGUGAAAUUUCGAGGCUUAACUUCGAAACUGCAUUCGAUACUGCCGUGCUUGAGGACUGGAGAGGAGACUGGAAUUUACGGUGUAGCGGUGAAAUGCGUAGAUAUCGGAAGGAACACCGGUGGCGAAGGCGGCACGCUGGGCCCGCCCUGGACGCUGAGGCGGCGAAAGCCAGGGGAGGCAAACGGG